rnacentral:rRNA from 1 species
GAAUCAACGCUGGCGGCGUGCCUAACACAUGCAAGUCGAACGCGAAAGCCCUUUCGGGGGUAAGUAGAGUGGCGUCCGGGUGAGUAACACGUGGGUAAUCUGCCUUCGGGUGGGGAAUAACCCAGGGAAACUUGGGCUAAUACCGCAUAAUGCAGCGGCACCUAAUGGUGAUUAGUUGGUUAAAGCGGGGGAUCGCAAGACCUCGCGCCUGAAGAGGAGCCU